rnacentral:rRNA from 1 species
UACGGGGGGGCAAGCGUUGUUCGGAAUUACUGGGCGUAAAGCGCACGUAGGCGGAUAUUUAAGUCAGGGGUGAAAUCCCAGAGCUCAACUCUGGAACUGCCUUUGAUACUGGGUAUCUUGAGUAUGGAAGAGGUAAGUGGAAUUCCGAGUGUAGAGGUGAAAUUCGUAGAUAUUCGGAGGAACACCAGUGGCGAAGGCGGCUUACUGGUCCAUUACUGACGCUGAGGUGGCGAAAG